rnacentral:rRNA from 1 species
AUUCCUACGGGAGGCAGCAGUGGGGAAUUUUGGACAAUGGGCGCAAGCCUGUUCCAGCCAUUCCGCGUGAGUGAAGAAGGCCUUCGGGUUGUAAAGCUCUUUCGCAAGGGAAGAAAACUUACAUUCUAAUAAAGUGUGAGGCUGACGGUACCUUGAUAAGAAGCACCGGCUAACUCCGUGCCAGCAGCCGCGGUAAUAAU